CACCGCCUGCUGCUGCCCGGCCAAGUGCAGCUUCGGCACCCACCGCCAUAGGCGCUGCCGGCGGCUCGCCGAGCGUGAUCAAGGUGGAGCAGGUGGAUUUGAGCGAGGAGGAUGGAGAACUGGAGGCCGCGCUGGGGCACGUGGCCAGCUUCGAGGGUCACGCCGGUGGGGCGGGACAAGGCUUUGAUCCCGCCCAGGUGUCGCUGCUGGACGACUCGCUAGGAGAAGCCGGCCCGUCGUCGGCCGGCGCCGGCGGUGACAGAGCCUCACAAGCGCCGUCGGCUUCCGGCCGCCUGGGGUGCCCGCUCUGCAGCAAGACGUACGCCAGCUGGGACUCGUACCGACACCACCUGGAGAC